GCAAACACUCAGGUUCCCCCUUCUUCUCACUGUUUGGAGUUAGCUUGACUGGAGAAGAAACAGCAGGAUGGAACUAUACCUUGUAAUUACCUUAAGCAAGUGGGCCAUAAAGGAUACAUUAUGAGGAAAGUGGAACAAGAAGUGGGAAAAACUUCAUCUGGUGAGCUGAACCCAGUCCUAAGUGCUAAAAUGUUUACUGCUUUCAAUCUGCCUGGCAGGGCACUCUGAGAAAAAGUGCUGAUUGGCAGCCUGCUGGCUCCCGGUUGCCUCCCAACUUUCAGGCAGUUGCCACAGCCCAGCACCUGAAAUGGUAGAAUUUUAAUUAUCUUUGGGAAGGGGAUGGUUCUACAAGCACU